UUUUUAAAAAGCGUCAUGCCCUAGUCUGAUGCAGCCCCCGCACCAGGCCCUAUAUGGGAGCAAGGUGAGCAAGGGCUCAGGGGAAGCCACUCCCCUCCCCUUGGUCUGCUACAAAUUGCCCAGGUCCUGCCCUCAGACUCCUAGCAGUUGAAAAUUGUUGAACUUGGUUGCUCCAACGAGCUUCUUCCAGAUCUUCAGUGUAAUAGACACAGCCAAUCUGGAUUGAGGACUGGAGUCUACACCGCCGUGAACCACUGGAGUUGUCAGAUGAAGGUGGCAGAAUGGAGAGAAGUAUCAGGCAUAAGCUACAGUCAUAUAAACCUUGAUACAGAUGUGAAUUGAUCCAGCCAUUCCAACUAAUGUGGAUCAGAGACCAACCACUCAGCCAACCUCAUUCAGAAUUCCC
rnacentral:lncRNA from 1 species